rnacentral:lncRNA from 1 species
GUUGGAAUUGUUGGAUCGCCGGGCCCGUCCCACUCUAACAACACCGAUACUGUCCCCACUUAACCACCUGCACAAUCCUCAGGUGUGGGGUUUUAUCACAAAAGGCCUCGGUAUUAGUUAGAGUGGGGUAAUACUAUUUAAACUUCUUUAGUUUUCUUCACCCCACCGAUGUGGGACAGUUUAACACUCCCCCUCACGUGUAACCUCAUUUAGUGGUUCACACGUGGAGAUCCACAUCAGUAAUUGAAACUCAGAGGUCGGCUCACGUUGGGCCCACUUGUUUUCAAUUGGAACUCAGCGGUCGUUUCUAUAUUAAGAGUUUAGACUUGUUUCCUUCCGGGUGGUGACAAGCUCAUUGGCUUGCACACAAGCUCGUUGGCUUGCACGGGCCCGCAACCGUGGGCUCUGAUACCAUGUUGGAAUUGUUGGAUCGCCGGGCCCGUCCCACUCUAACAACACCGAUACUGUCCCCACUUAACCACCUGCACAAUCCUCAGGUGUGGGGUUUUAUCACAAAAGGCCUCGGUAUUAGUUAGAGUGGAGUAAUACUAUUUAAACUUCUUUAGUUUUCUUCACCCCACCGAUGUGGGACAGUUUAACACUCCCCCUCACGUGUAACCUCAUUUAGUGGUUCACACGUGGAGAUCCACAUCAGUAAUUGAAACUCAG